AUGAACAGCAGAGAAAACGGGACUCAGCAUUCUCAGUGUCGUGUUUGCUUGCUAGCACAUCUUUUCUGGGCUCCACUCCUACGCAUUGAUUUGUCUGACCAGUUGGCAUGGUUUGGAGGAUGUAAAUAUACUACAGAAGAUGCGUCAUGUGACAAGCCUGCCCUAGUGUGUUGGAAAUUUGGGCUUGCUGUUGGAAUGGGUAAACCCUGUCAGCAUUUUUUCAGAGGAGGAAAAGCUGCAUCAAGUCGAGAAAGACCUCCGCUCUUGGAAAAUCAUAGAUCUCGCAAGUCAGGUUGGUGA
rnacentral:rRNA from 1 species